rnacentral:rRNA from 1 species
GAUGAACGCUGGCGGCGUGCCUAAUACAUGCAAGUCGAGCGAACGGACGAGAAGCUUGCUUUUCUGAUGUUAGCGGCGGACGGGUGAGUAACACGUGGAUAACCUACCUAUAAGACUGGGAUAACUUCGGGAAACCGGAGCUAAUACCGGAUAAUAUUUUGAACCGCAUGGUUCAAAAGUGAAAGACGGUCUUGCUGUCACUUAUAGAUGGAUCCGCGCUGCAUUAGCUAGUUGGUAAGGUAACGGCUUACCAAGGCAACGAUGCAUAGCCGACCUGAGAGGGUGUUCGGCCACUCGGAAUAUGAGACGCGAGCCGAGCUCCCAGGGGAGGCAGCGGCGGGAAAUUGUCCCACAGGGGCGAAAGCCUGAGGGGGGAACGCACGUGAAGUGUAGAAGGUUUUCGAGCCGUAAAACUCUUUUAUUAGGGAAGAAAUUUUUUGAAAGUAACGGUGCCAACUUUGCCGGUACCUAAUCAGAAGGCCGCGGUAAACAGCGU